GAAAUGUUGAUGCUGGCUGUCUGGUGUUGCUGUCUGUGUCUGAUGGGAAACAUGCACCAGCACUCAGGGCUCUGUGGCUUGGGCUCAUGGUGUUCGCAAGAAGCCUGUAAAGAAGGUGGUUCCCGCAGGCAGCGAGCUGUGCACUGACCCCAGGCUUCUGCAGCGACUACGUCUGGAGGAGUUUCUCCACUUGCUGGAAAGAAAACAUAAGGAGAAUUUUAGUGGGCAAAAUAAAGGCAUCUCUGCUCAUGUGAAUGCUCACCCAUGAGCACAACAGAGCAACACAUGUGAACCACAGAUUUUGUUUCUCUACUUUUCUUGCAGUCAUUCAUACUGUUACCUUUUUCAAUGUAUUGAUCUGCUUUUUCUGUAAACGGAGACCCCUUGUAAAGGGGUAAAUUCAGCUUGGAAGUAAUGUCUAGUAAUGUCUAGUUUCUGAUAUGCCUUUUUUCAAGGCUCACUGAGCUGAGGAAAAGGGUAUUUAAAAAGCAGACUUUGAAUAAUGCUUUAUUCAUUACACUAAAUAGCUUAUUCAUUUACUAAUCUGACCAAUUCUAACUACUGCUCGCUCAUUGUAUUCUCUCUGACUCACGAAGGAAGAAAAUAGAGACAAGUAGACUGUGUUGUCUGUGCCUGGCAAUUACGGUGCACAUCAGUGGUAGCAGGAUGAGUGGAAGUUCAAAUCCCUUUCUGCUGUAUUCUAUUAAUUCAAGAAACUGCUUUGUAUGAAAAUGCACAUAGGGCAGCACUUAGCACACAUAGUUCAGAGCCAGGAAGGUUGAGACAAUCAGCUGUAGAUGUACUCAGUUACUUCCUGCCAUCAUCUUUCCUCCCACGAAAUCCAGACUACUCAUGGAAAUCCUGAGCUAUUGCAGACUUUUUUUCUGGAAAAAUGACAUGUCACCAAGAUCUUUCAAAUUGCAAGAAAAGCUUUUGUUUUUUGUUAACUCUUUCAAGAAUCUCUUUUUACAACAAAAAACAAAUGCUUCAUUUUCCUUCAGAAGAGAAAAUUGUGUGAAGGAGGAAAACUUACAUAAGAAGCAGUGCUAUAAUGUUACUCCAAAAAUGUCAAACACACAUUUGUUCUUCGGAACAAAAAUUGGAAUUUUCUGUUUUAUUCUCCUGGUAAACCACUAGAUACAGUAUUUUAAUUAGAAGUAACUUUUGAUGACUGAGACAGAAACUGGACCAUGAAAAAGGGGUUCUUCCAGGAGAGAUGUUCAAAGUCCAUUAAGACCACCAUGAAAAUCUCUGUGGCCAUUUCAGUGACUUGCUUUGUUACCAAAUCUGCUCACUUCUUAAACUAGCUAGCCAAUUCAAUCCUUGCUUCAUUUUAGAAUGGGAAAAUAUUUAUUUAACAAGAAAACUGAGGAAUAGUACUUAUUUUUUAAAAGUCUACAAACACCAGUACAUAUGAAAGUGUAUGACUACUGAUGAACAAAGCUUUUGUGCCAAAGAAAACAAGGAACAGGGAAAACAAGAAAACAAGGCUUUAAGGUAGUGUUCCUGCUUUGUCAUGUAGAUCUUGUGCUGCAAAUUUGGAAUUACAAAAUUGAGGUGAUUGUAGAAUUUGUAUAAGUACCUGUUUUUCUUUCCCAUUUUCUUCAGUGACUUUAAACAGACCAAAACCCAAUCAAUUUUUCUGAAUAAUUCAAAAAUUUCAGUGGUGAUGGUGGUCUUAAGUCUCAAGGUAAUAACAUGAGGUUUUUGAGGCAAAGUUAUUCAAAUGGAAUUCAGGUGCUAACUCAGGACUUUAAAAUUUUCUGUUAAAAUAUAUACAAAGCAAUGAAAU
rnacentral:lncRNA from 7 species